UACCAAGGGGGCUAGCGUUGUUCGGAUUUACUGGGCGUAAAGUGCACGUAGGCGGAUCGAUCAGUCAGGGGUGAAAUCCCAGAGCUCAACUCUGGAACUGCCUUUGAUACUGUCGAUCUGGAGUAUGGAAGAGGUGAGUGGAAUUCCGAGUGUAGAGGUGAAAUUCGUAGAUAUUCGGAGGAACACCAGUGGCGAAGGCGGCUCACUGGUCCAUUACUGACGCUGAGGUGCGAAAGCGUGGGGAGCAAACAGG
rnacentral:rRNA from 1 species